GCUCCUGUAGCAAAGUGGUUAAUGCGUCGUGCUUAUAUGGGUGUACCCGUACGCAACGCGAAGGUCGCGAGUUCGAUCCUCGCCAGGAGCA